rnacentral:lncRNA from 1 species
UGCAAGUCUCACUCUUCUACAGAACUGAGGUCAACAAAGAUCAAACACACCCAUACCUCGUUCAUGCAUCUAUGACUUCAAAUCAUCAGAGAAUCCUGAAGUUGACCCAAGAGUCCAAAAGGGGAAGCUGGAAAAGGUGAGAAGCUUUCAUCGCAAAGCUUCAGCGGAUCUGAGGAUGAAGAUCAAUACAAACCUCGCCAUGGGGACAAAACCUCCAAAUAGAUCUACAAGAUAGGGCUAAAAAUCCAAC